GACGAACGCUGGCGGCGUGCUUAACACAUGCAAGUCGAACGGAAAGGCCCUGCUUUUGUGGGGUGCUCGAGUGGCGAACGGGUGAGUAACACGUGAGUAACCUGCCCUUGACUUUGGGAUAACUUCAGGAAACUGGGGCUAAUACCGGAUAGGAGCUCCUGCUGCAUGGUGGGGGAUGGAAAGUUUCGGCGGUUGGGGAUGGACUCGCGGCUUAUCAGCUUGUUGGUGGGGUAGUGGCUUACCAAGGCUUUGACGGGUAGCCGGCCUGAGAGGGUGACCGGCCACAUUGGGACUGCGAUACGGCGCAGACUCCUACGGGAGGCAGCAGUGGGGAAUAUUGCACAAUGGGCGGAAGCCUGAUGCAGCAACGCCGCGUGCGGGAUGACGGCCUUCGGGUUGUAAACCGCUUUCGCCUGUGACGAAGCGUGAGUGACGGUAAUGGGUAAAGAAGCACCGGCUAACUACGUG
rnacentral:rRNA from 1 species